rnacentral:rRNA from 1 species
GACGAACGCUGGCGGCGUGCUUAACACAUGCAAGUCGAACGGUAAGGCCCUUCGGGGUACACGAGUGGCGAACGGGUGAGUAACACGUGGGUGAUCUGCACUGCACUUCGGGAUAAGCCUGGGAAACUGGGUCUAAUACCGGAUAGGACCACUGCCUGCAUGGGUGGUGGUGGAAAGCUUUUGCGGUGUGGGAUGGGCCCGCGGCCUAUCAGCUUGUUGGUGGGGCGAUGGCCUACCAAGGCGACGACGGGUAGCCGGCCUGAGAGGGUGACCGGCCACACUGGGACUGAGAUACGGCCCAGACUCCUACGGGAGGCAGCAGUGGGGAAUAUUGCACAAUGGGCGCAAGCCUGAUGCAGCGACGCCGCGUGAGGGAUGACGGCCUUCGGGUUGUAAACCUCUUUCAGCACCGACGAAGCGCAAGUGACGGUAGGUGCAGAAGAAGGACCGGCCAACUACGUGCCAGCAGCCGCGGUAAGAC